CAGGCUGGGAAGGCUCAACUGUUUUGUUUACUUAAAAUUUCUCAUAAUUUAUGAGAUUAAGUUCAAGUAUAGUAGGCUUUGAGUAUCUAUAGUUAAUGAGGAGAGAAAAAAGUAGAACCAACAAAAUCUAGUUUGCUGAGAUAUAAAAAAUAAAAUCUACAGUCAACCUACAGACAUUCAAUCUACAGCCAACUUGGGGGUUAAAAAAACAAAACAACUUUCUUUUAAAAAGCACUUACCAAUCUCUAAGCUUGAACUGGGCUAUAACGAACCAAAACAUUAUGGGCAACAAGGCAGAGCUAAGACAUUUAAAAAGGCCAAUGGCUCAGAUCAUCGGCAUCUACCUCAAAUUUGUAUGUAUGCUGGCACAAGACUUCUACAAUUUACUCAUCAAAUGCUUAGGCAACUCAUCAUACAAGAAAGGGGAAAACAAAAAACCUGGAUGUAUAUACAACAAUAGGAUAAUGAUUUUCUCCUGCACUGAAAAUUCACUGUUUUACUAUUUUCAAAGUUUGAAAAAGUAAGACUUUUGGUACACAAUAGUGAAAACAAAAUAAUAUGAACAGUUGGUCAAAUGCCCUUCAAUGUCUUGUAGUAUCUUCCAUUAGCACUCUACAGUUCUAUGCCCAAAUUUCAUUAAAAUUGAUUUUGUCACAAUGGACUAAAUGAGUUCACUGAAAAUGUUCUAAAUGUGAGCAACAACUAGUAUAUAAAAGGAAUGUAUUUUUUAAAAGAGGUCAUUCAUAGUAACAUAAAAACCAUAAGGCACCUCAAAACACAUUAGGAAAAAAGAUCCUUAGAGAAACUAUAAAACUUUACCAAAGGAAUAAAAGACAAAUAAAUGGAGGUAUAACGUAUUUAUGGGUGAUAAAACUCAAUAACGAUUUUCCCUAAUUUCACCUAUAAAUUCAAGGCACUCAUAAACAAAAUCCAAAAUUGUGUGCUCUGUUUUGGAAAUAUGGAUGACUAAAGUGGCAAGAACAGAAAAACAGUUUUGAAGAAUAACAACAAGAGGGAUUUAUAAAGUUAGAAUUAUUAAAACUAUGCUAUUGAUUCAGAUAAGGCAAAUACGUAAAUGGAAUAAAAGAGAAGGUAAUAAACAAACUGCAUAUACAUGAACUAGGUAUAUGAAACCGGCAUUAUGAAAACAGAAAGGGGACAAUGAAUGGUGCUAAGACAACUGACUACCCAAAUGGAAAUAUCUAUACCUCACACCAUAUAUAAAAAUCAGUUCCAAAGGGGCUAAAAAAAUAAAUGUAAAGGAAUAAAACUUAGAUACUUCAUGAAAAAAUAUCAGACCUCAGUGAUAUCUAUAAGGAAAAAUGUAUUAAGCUAUGAAAAAAAAAAAAAGCUAUCAAAAAGGAAAGAUCUAGCCGGGCACAGUGGCAUGUGCCUGUAGACCCAGCUACACAGAAUGCUGAGGUCAAAGGAUCUCUUGAGCUGAGGAGUCCAGCCUGGGUAACACAGCAAGACCCUAUCUCUAAAAAUAAUCAACUAAUUUUAAAAAGAAAGAUAAAUACAUCUAAACAUUAACAUUAAAAACUUUCAUAUGAUCUGGGCGUGAUGCCUCAUGCCUGUAAUCCCAGGAAUACUUUGGAAGGCUGAGGCAAGUGGAUCCCUUGAGCCUAGGGGGUUGAGGCCAGACUGGGCAACAUGGCAAAACCCGGUCUCUACAGAAAAAUACAAAAAUUAGUGGGGUGUGGUGGCAUGCAGCUGUGAUCCCAGCUACUUGGAAGGCUGAGGUGGGAGGAUUAGCUAAGCCCAGGAAGGCCAAGGCUGCAGUAAGCCUUGAUCUGCCACUGCAUUCCAGCCUAGGCGACAUAGUGAGACUCUAUCUCAAGACAAAACAAAACAACAACCAAAAAACCCCACAAAACUUCUACGUGAUAAACACUCCACAUGAAGAAAAUAAAAAAGAAGGUACUGGGAGAUCACUGGAAUCCAUAUAACCAGGAAGGAUUAGUACCCAGAAUGCAUAAUGAACACUAAUCAGUACAGAAUAUAAAACAAUUGAAAAAUUGUGGUGGUGGUGGUGAACUAAAAUGCUAAAGUCCAACUGUAUAAUAACUAUUUGAAAAGAUAUUUAAACUAAUUGACAAUCAAGAAAAUGCAAAUACAAAAUGUUUCAUAUCCAUGUAAUUGGAAAAAUGUUCACCAGUCUGAUAACCUAAAGAUAAAGGAAAAUGGGAAAUCCUAAAUAUUGUGAUUAGAAAUGUAAAUGGGUGUAUGCACGUUGAAGAGCAGUUAGGCACAAGCACGUAAAUAUACCGUAUGGGCCAUGACUUCCACUUACAGGAUAUGCUAUGCACAGGUGUGUGUGUGUAUGUGUGUGUGUGUGUAUAUAUAUAUAGAGAGAGAGAGAGAGAGACAGACACACACAGAGAAGCGUUAGAGAAACUUUCAUUCAUGUGCACAAGAAAACGUGGAUGGAUGUUCCAGCAAUGUUGUACAUUUUUAAAUCCCCCAAUAGGAAAAUAAAUUUGAAAAUUAAUAUAUUCAUAUUAUGAAUAUAUUAUUAAUGAAUAUAUUAAUAUAUUCAUAUAAUGCUCUGGAAUAGUCUAAAUAAAUAAUCAUUCUAGAGGUACAAGUAUUAAUGUGAUAUUUCAAAGAAGUGGUAAAAAACACUAGCUUGAAAAGACAUACAAUAGAAGAUUCACAACAGCAUGAUUAAUUACAAUUUUACCACAGAAAAUAGUAGUAUAUAUCAUUUAUCAUGGGAAUGACAGGCACUCUCUUCAGGAUUGCUAUAGCCUCUAGGAAGGAAGAGGAAAAUGGAGGUGAACACUUUAUCUGUAUCUAUAACAUUUUAUCAGGUAAAAAUAGGAAGGAAGAGAUUCACAACAGUGUGGCAACAUGUUCUUAUCAAUUAAAUCUGAGCAGUAGAUAUAUGAGUGUUAUAUUAUUUUCUGUUUGAAAUGUAUAAUUAUUAAAAGUGAAAAUGAACAAAUACUAACUUGAAUAUACAUGGAAAUGAUAUUAUUUAGAUUUAGAUUCACUUUCAUCAACUCUGUAACUGUUGUUCAGUUUUAAAAAGUUUAGUUGGGUGAGGCCGGGCAUGGUGGCUCACACCUGUAAUCCCAGCACUUUGGGAGGCCAAGGCGGGUGGAUGACCUGAGGUCAGGAGUCUGGGACCAGCCUGGCCAACAUGGUGAAACUCCAUCUCUACUAAAAAUACCAAAACUAGCCGGGUGUGGUGGCAGGCACCUAUAAUCCCAGCUACUCAUGGGGCUGAGGCAGGAGAAUCGCUUGAACCCAGGAGGUGGAGGUUGCAGUUAGCCGAGAUCGUGCCAUCGCACUCCAGCCUGGGGCACAAGAGCGAGACUUCAUCUCAAAAAAUAAAAAUAAAAAUGAAAAAUAAAGUUUAGCUGGGUGUAUGAUUAGUGUCUUCCCACAAACACAAAGUUAAACUAAAAUUUAGGAAAGAGUUUUUAAGGCAUAUAUAUCAUAGUUACAGAAUAUAUCCAACAUAGGCAUAUAUUCAUAAAGACAGCAAAUAUGGGAGUAGAGGUAAGGAAGUAAUAAUAAAAAUUAAAGCAGAACAUUUUUACUUAAUUUUUAUUUUUUUUUUUUGAGACAGGGUCUCACUCUGUUGCCCGGGCUGGAGUGCCGUGGUGUGAUCUUGGCUCACUACAACCUCCACUUCUGGGUUCAAGCAAUUCUCCUGCCUCAGCCUCCCGAGUAGCUGAGACUACAGACAUGUCACCACACCUGGCUAAUUUUUGUAUUUUUAGGAGAGAUGGGGUUUCACCAUGUUGACCAGCUGGUCUUGAACUCCUGACCUCAAGAGAACUGCCCGCCUUGGCCUCCCAAAGUGCUGGGAUUACAGGCAUGAGCCACCAUGUGCAGCCUAAAAUUUUAUUAGAAGGCUCAUGGUGGCUCAUGCCUGUAAUCCCAGCACUUUGGGAGGCUGAGGUGGGAGGAUCCCUUGGGCCCAGGAGUUCAAGGCCAGCCCAGGCAACAUAGAAAGAUCCCGUUUCUAUUUAAAGAAAAACAAAAAUAAAUAUUAAAAAAUUUUAUUAAAAUGUAAUGUAAGAUUCAGGCUUAAUAAUCAUUUGUUCAACUAGCAAAAAUCUGCAACCACAUUACAAAGGGUUUAGUUUUUUAGUCUAUAAAGAGCUGCUAGAAAUCAAAGACAAUGAAUAACCCAGUUGAAAAUAAUGGAAAAAACAUGAUCAAACAGUUCACAGAAAAAUUAACAAGUGUGCUUAAAUAUAUAAAAAAAGAUUCCUAAUGUCAUUCAUAAGAAAAUGCAAAUUUAAAACUAUGCUGAAAUACCAUUUAUCACUAAUGGAUUGAACUGUGCGGUAAAAUAUUACUUUAUAUUGUCAGCAGUAGUGUAAAAUGGAAGAAGCACAAUGCUUUUAUUCAUAAAGAAGCUAGGAAGAAAUAAAAACUAAUAAAAAUUGUUACCAGCAGGAGAGGAACAAAGUUUCUCAGUGUAUACCUUUAUACAAGGUUUGAGGUUUUUUCUGAACUGUAUGCAUGUAUGAAGUAAUUUAAAAAUCUUCAAAGUAAGUGAUGAAAAUUAAUUUGUGAAAUGAACCAUGGUGGCGGACACCUACACAAAGAGAAAUACACCAUAACAACUUAUUAUGUGUGCACUACAACCAACAAAGAUCCGAUAACUGAGAGGGGUGAGUUCAGUGACUGCUAUUAAAAAAGUAUAGUACAUAGAGCAAAAAACUAAAACAUUGAGAAGAUUUAAAAAAUUGAAAGCAACAGACUGUUUUCUCCACUUCUAAGAAUCUCUGAAACACCAUACAUACUACCUGAAAAGGUAAUGUAGUUGUAAGUUUCUUUCUCAUAAAUUAUUGCAUUCAGCCAUAAAAUCUGGUCCUUUGACUUUUACUGCUCACAUAUAGCUCCUUCGGAGACAACUAUUUUGAAAAAUAAAAUCUGUCAUUUAUCUAAAUAAAUACAUCUUAAACAUUCACAUCUGAUAUCUGCAAAACCGUUGGAAAAAAACAAAAGAAUACAAUAAUAAAUAAUAAAACAAAUGAUCAAAAUCCAUUUCAAAAUUCCAGUCUCCAUAAAGAUAUAACUUCCAUUAGUUUCUAUCUUAUUUUAAAACCAAUAAUUCAAUUAAUGCCACAAGAGGAAUGACAACCAAAUGGUGAGGCAGAGUGUAUAGGCAAAUGCUUCUACCUAAAUUUAAGAGCACUUGACCAUUUAAAUAAUGAAGACAUACCUGCGUGUUCCAGAUGUGUACACAUUUGUCAAAAGAACCACUUGCCAGAUAC
rnacentral:lncRNA from 1 species